GUUUAUUAAAAUGAAAUAAAUAAAAUGAAUUUUGUAAGAAAAAUUUGAAAGAUAUAAAUAGAAAAUGAUAAGUGAAAACCCUAAUCCCCAUUUCUCUUUCAUUCUCUCCCGAGCUCUCUUUGUCUUCUCUUUGUGCAGCACGGCGGUGCAACAACAAAUCCGGCCACUGCCGGCGCUAGUGGUUCAAACGAACCAGAAAACAAGUUUCCCCCAACCCGAAAACCCCAACCCCUCUCCCUCUUCCUUGUCUCUCUCUCGCUCCCGUUCUCUCUCUCUCUCCAUUUUCUCUUGCACGGUGGCGCUGCCAGGCCAUGGCCAUUUCCCCGAGCGAUGGCUGUAACUUUUUGAUUUGAAGGACAUUGCAAUAUUGCAUAUGCACGAGAGGUUCGGAGAAUCGUUGGGGAAAGCUGAAGGCUUCGAACGACUGUGUUGUUUGCCUGACCAUGGCAUUGAGGCGAAAGAUGAAGGCUUCGAUACCCCAGGAUCGGAGGUGCACAACACAUUGGGAAAAGCCAUAGAUCUGAUCUGGUUGAUGGCCACAACAUCCAUGGAUCUGAUCUAGUCUCCCUCUCAUUUUAUCUUCCUUUAUUUUUUUUUUCUUCAGAAUUGUAUCAUAUUAAUUUUGUGUAAUAAUCUUUGAUUUUUUACAGUUUUAAUGAAUUAUGAUAUAUUUUUUUUUUGAAAUAAAUGAAUUGGGAUAUUUAAAUUUUGAAA